GACGAACGCUGGCGGCGUGCUUAACACAUGCAAGUCGAACGGAAAGGCUCUGCUUUUGUGGGGUGCUCGAGUGGCGAACGGGUGAGUAACACGUGAGUAACCUGCCCUUGACUUUGGGAUAACUUCAGGAAACUGGGGCUAAUACCGGAUAGGAGCUCCUGCUGCAUGGCGGGGGUUGGAAAGUUUCGGCGGUUGGGGAUGGACUCGCGGCUUAUCAGCUUGUUGGUGGGGUAGUGGCUUACCAAGGCUUUGACGGGUAGCCGGCCUGAGAGGGUGACCGGCCACAUUGGGACUGAGAUACGGCCCAGACUCCUACGGGAGGCAGCAGUGGGGAAUAUUGCACAAUGGGCGGAAGCCUGAUGCAGCAACGCCGCGUGCGGGAUGACGGCCUUCGGGUUGUAAACCGCUUUCGCCUGUGACGAAGCGUGAGUGACGGUAAUGGGUAAAGAAGCACCGGCUAACUACGUG
rnacentral:rRNA from 1 species